ensembl:snRNA U6 U6 spliceosomal RNA
GUGCUUGCUUUGGCAGCACAUAUACUAAAACUGGAAGGAUACAGAGAAGAUUAUCAUGGCCCUGCACAAGGAUGACAUGCAAAUUCAUGAAGCAUUCCACAUUUUU